rnacentral:rRNA from 1 species
UACGAAGGGGGCUAGCGUUGUUCGGAAUCACUGGGCGUAAAGGGCGCGUAGGCGGCUUGAUAAGUCGGGGGUGAAAGCCUGUGGCUCAACCACAGAAUUGCCUUCGAUACUGUCGAGCUUGAGACCGGAAGAGGUAAGUGGAACUGCGAGUGUAGAGGUGAAAUUCGUAGAUAUUCGCAAGAACACCAGUGGCGAAGGCGGCUCACUGGCUCGGUACUGACGCUGAGGUGCGAAAGCGUGGGGAGCAAACAGG